rnacentral:tRNA from 1 species
CAGAGUAUAGUGCUAAUCUAGUAGGACAUUUCCCUUACACCGAGAAAGAACCCGUGCGAAUCGAGUUAUUCUGA